UACGGAGGGUGCAAACGUUGCUCGGAAUUAUUGGGCGUAAAGCGCACGUAGGCGGACCGCUAAGUCGGAUGUGAAAUCCCUCAGCUUAACUGAGGAAGUGCAUUCGAAACUGACGGCCUUGAGUACGGAAGAGGGUCGCGGAAUUCCCGGUGUAGAGGUGAAAUUCGUAGAUAUCGGGAGGAACACCAGUGGCGAAGGCGGCGACCUGGGCCGAUACUGACGCUGAGGUGCGAAAGCGUGGGGAGCAAACAGG
rnacentral:rRNA from 1 species